GAUGAACGCUGGCGGCGUGCCUAAUACAUGCAAGUCGAGCGAACAGAUGAGAAGCUUGCUUCUCUGAUGUUAGCGGCGGACGGGUGAGUAACACGUGGGUAACCUACCUAUAAGACUGGGAUAACUCCGGGAAACCGGGGCUAAUACCGGAUAAUAUAUUGAACCGCAUGGUUCAAUAGUGAAAGACGGUUUCGGCUGUCACUUAUAGAUGACCCGCGCCGUAUUAGCUAGUUGGUAAGGUAACGGCUUACCAAGGCGACGAUACGUAGCCGACCUGAGAGGGUGAUCGGCCACACUGGAACUGAGACACGGUCCAGACUCCUACGGGAGGCAGCAGUAGGGAAUCUUCCGCAAUGGGCGAAAGCCUGACGGAGCAACGCCGCGUGAGUGAUGAAGGUCUUCGGAUCGUAAAACUCUGUUGUUAGGGAAGAACAAAUUUGUUAGUAACUGAACAAGUCUUGACGGUACCUAACCAGAAAGCCACGGCUAACUACGUGCCAGCCGCCGCAGUAA
rnacentral:rRNA from 1 species